GCGCCCGUAGCUCAGCUGGAUAGAGCGCUGGGCUUCGAACCCAGAUGUCGGGGGUUCGAAUCCCUCCGGGCGUG
rnacentral:tRNA from 1 species